AAACUACUUGUCUUGAGGGUAGACGGAGAAAACGGAAUUCCAAGUGUAGCGGUGAAAUGCGUAGAUAUUUGGAAGAACACCGGUGGCGAAAGCGGUUUUCUAGUUUAUUCCUGACGCUGAGAUGCGAGAGCAAGGGUAGCAAACAGGAUUAGAUACCCUGGUAGUCCUUGCCGUAAACGAUGCAUACUUGGUGUAGUUGGACUCAACCCCGACUGUGCCGUAGCUAACGCGUUAAGUAUGCCACCUGGGGAGUACGCCCGCAAGGGUGAAACUCAAAAGAAUUGACGGGGGCCCGCACAAGCAGUGGAGCAUGUGGUUUAAUUCGAUGCAACGCGAAGAACCUUACCCAGGCUUGACAUAUAGAGGACCGCUCUAGAGAUAGGGUUUCCCGCAAGGGCCUUUAUACAGGUGCUGCAUGGCUGUCGUCAGCUCGUGCCGUGAGGUGUUGGGUUAAGUCCCGCAACGAGCGCAACCCUUGUCGUUAGUUACCAACAUGUAAUGGUGGGGACUCUAACGAGACUGCCUAGGUUAACUAGGAGGAAGGUGAGGAUGACGUCAAGUCCGCAUGGCCUUUAUGUCUGGGGCUACACACGUGCUACAAUGGUCGGUACAGAAGGCAGCGAAGCCGAAAGGUGGAGCAAAUCCCAAAAACCGAUCUCAGUUCGGAUAGAAGUCUGCAACUCGACUUCUUGAAGUUGGAAUUGCUAGUAAUGACGUGUCAGCAAUAACGUCGUGAAUACGUUCCCGGGCCUUGUACACACCGCCCGUCACAUCAUGGAAGUUGGUUUCGCCCGAAGCCGCUGACUCAACCGCAAGGGGAGAGGCGUCUAAGGUGAGGCUGAUGACUAGGAUG
rnacentral:rRNA from 1 species